rnacentral:rRNA from 1 species
AUUGAACGCUGGCGGCAGGCCUAACACAUGCAAGUCGAGCGGAUGAAGGGUGCUUGCUCCUGGAUUCAGCGGCGGACGGGUGAGUAAUGCCUAGGAAUCUGCCUGGUUGUGGGGGAUAACGCCCGGAAACGGGCGCUAAUACCGCAUACGUCCUGAGGGAGAAAGUGGGGGAUCUUCGGACCUCACGCUCUCAGAUGAUCCUAGGUCGGAUUAGCUAGUUGGUGGGGUAAAGGCCUACCAAGGCGACGAUCCGUAACUGGUCUGAGAGGAUGAUCAGUCACACUGGAACUGAGACACGGUCCAGACUCCUACGGGAGGCAGCAGUGGGGAAUAUUGGACAAUGGGCGAAAGCCUGAUCCAGCCAUGCCGCGUGUGUGAAGAAGGUCUUCGGAUUGUAAAGCACUUUUAGUUGGGAGGAAGAGCAGUAAGUUAAUACCUUGCUGUUUUGACGUUACCAACAGAAUAAGCACCGGCUAACUUCGUG